CUUACCAUGCAGUCGACGGCAGCACGGGGGCAACCCUGGUGGCGAGUGGCGAACGGGUGAGUAACAUAUCGGAACGUGCCCUGGAGUGGGGGAUAACUAGUCGAAAGACUAGCUAAUACCGCAUACGAUCUACGGAUGAAAGUGGGGGAUCGCAAGACCUCAUGCUCGUGGAGCGGCCGAUAUCUGAUUAGCUAGUUGGUGGGGUAAAGGCCUACCAAGGCAUCGAUCAGUAGCUGGUCUGAGAGGACGACCAGCCACACUGGGACUGAGACACGGCCCAGACUCCUACGGGAGGCAGCAGUGGGGAAUUUUGGACAAUGGGCGCAAGCCUGAUCCAGCAAUGCCGCGUGAGUGAAGAAGGCCUUCGGGUUGUAAAGCUCUUUUGUCAGGGAAGAAACGGUGGGGGCUAAUACCUUCUGCUAAUGACGGUACCUGAAGAAUAAGCACCGGCUAACUACGUGCCAGCAGC
rnacentral:rRNA from 1 species